rnacentral:rRNA from 1 species
AACGAACGCUGGCGGCAUGCCUAACACAUGCAAGUCGAACGAGACCUUCGGGUCUAGUGGCGCACGGGUGCGUAACGCGUGGGAACCUGCCCUUAGGUUCGGAAUAACUCCCCGAAAGGGGUGCUAAUACCGGAUAAUGUCUUCGGACCAAAGAUUUAUCGCCUUUGGAUGGGCCCGCGUUGGAUUAGCUAGUUGGUAGGGUAAAAGCCUACCAAGGCGACGAUCCAUAGCUGGUCUGAGAGGAUGAUCAGCCACACUGGGACUGAGACACGGCCCAGACUCCUACGGGAGGCAGCAGUGGGGAAUAUUGGACAAUGGGCGAAAGCAUGAUCCAGCAAUGCCGCGUGAGUGAUGAAGGACUUAGGGUUGUAAAGCUCUUUUACCCGGGAUGAUAAUGACAGUACCGGGAGAAUAAGCUCCGGCUAACUCCGUG